CUUGAAUUUCUACUGCAGCAUGAGUGGAAUGUGGGUGUAAGACACAAUGAGAUAUUAAAAGAAAAAAAAUUCACCUUGUUUUCUUCCAAUAGAGAAAGGAUUUCACCUUCUUUCCCAAGGAACCAUCAUGGCCUCAGGAUAUUUUCCAUUACUCAGAAACCGUUCCAUUACUAUGAAAGCAGGCAGGACGGCAACAGAAUAUGCACGGCCUUUCAGAUGAAAGUAAAUUUGAAAAAUUUCCUUCCAUUCCCUCAUGUUAAGACUGAAGGCUGUAGAGAAGGAUGGAAAACGUGAGUGUUACUGAUUUAGUGAAGGUUAUUGCCUUAAAGGCAGAAGAUUGUUUUCCCUGAUAUUGGUUAGCCUGGUGGAGCUGAUGUUAGGGCUAGAUGCUUUUCUUUGUUGCUGCACACAGAUUAGCUUAUUGGUUUACCUGUUUUUCAUUCACUAAGGCAAAUCCCUAAGCAAGGAGCUCCCUCGUUCUCUGACACGACAUUGAUGUAAGCUUUAUUAAAAGAUACUGUUCUUAAAAGCAGAAAGAACUGAAUGGGGGGUUGAUUUUGUGCCACAGUGAUAAUGAGGAUCAGCUAAGGAGGUCUGUUACUGGCAGAACUGGUGUGUGCUUUAAGACACACAGGGGUGCCAAGAAACAAUACAAAGUGUGAGAACAAGCAGACUGAGUCACGAUCCAUUGCAGAUUCUAAAUUGUACACUUCUGUCUCUAUAUAUAGCUCAUCAAAAGUGUCAUUUCUGCUGUCAUGAGAACUUUUUAGAUUGCCAUCACCAUAAGUAUAGCAACAACAGUAGCAUUUCUUUAUAUUAACUGUAUCUGAAUCCCACAGCAAGAUGUAGUUUCUCCUGACACAUUUAACUUGGGGAAUAUUAGGCUGGGAGAAUCUCUGGGGGAAACAGGGUACUGCUUCUUAAAUCUAUGAAAAGAGGAGUCAUUCCGGUUGACAUAGACUAUAGAGUGUUGUACUUUUUUGGAUCUGGCUGUCAGAAAUCUCCAAGUAUGGUGUGAAAGAUGUAUAAUAUUCUUUCAGCAAGGCUAUUUUUUUACAAGCAGUAUUAUGUGGGUUUGAAACCAGAAUGAGAGUGCU
rnacentral:lncRNA from 1 species